ACUCCUGUGGCCCAAUCGGUAGAGGCGGCUGUCUCAAACCCAGUCAAUGUGCAGGUUCAAAUCCUGUCAGGAGUACCA
rnacentral:tRNA from 1 species